rnacentral:rRNA from 1 species
AACGAACGCUGGCGGCAGGCCUAACACAUGCAAGUCGAACGGGCCCUCCGGGGUCAGCGGCAGACGGGUGAGUAACACGUGGGAACGUGCCUUUCAGUUCGGAAUAACCCAGGGAAACUUGGGCUAAUACCGGAUACGCCAUCUGGGGGGAAGAUUUAUCGCUGAAGGAGCGGCCCGCGUCUGAUUAGCUAGUUGGUGGGGUAAAGGCCCACCAAGGCGACGACCAGUAGCUGGUCUGAGAGGAUGAUCAGCCACACUGGGACUGAGACACGGCCCAGACUCCUACGGGAGGCAGCAGUGGGGAAUAUUGGACAAUGGGCGCAAGCCUGAUCCAGCCAUGCCGCGUGAGUGAUGAAGGCCUUAGGGUUGUAAAGCUCUUUCGGCGAGGACGAUAAUGACGGUACCCGCAGAAGAAGCCCCGGCUAACUUCGUGCCAGCCGCCGCUGUAAUAC